GACGAACGCUGGCGGCGUGCCUAAUACAUGCAAGUCGAACGCAGAGGGGACGGGAGAGUAACACGUGGGUAACCUCCCAUCAGAGGGGAUAACACUUGGAAACAGGUGCUAAACCGAUACUGAUGGAAGGACCCGCGGUGCAUUAACCAGUUGGGGAGGUAACGGCUCACCAAGGCCACGAUGCAUAGGCGAGCUGAUAGGGUGAUCGGCCACACUAGGACUGAGACCCGGCCCAGACUCCUACGGGAGGCAGCAGUAGGGACUCUUCGGCAAUGGACGAAAGUCUGACCGAGCCACGCCGCGUGAGUGGAGAGGGUUUUCGGAUCGUAAUACUCUGUUGUUAGAGAAGCGGUAUCUAACCAGAAAGCCACGGCUAACUACGUGCCAGCCGCCGCGGUAAUUC
rnacentral:rRNA from 1 species